CUGCUCCAGAUCUUGGAGUAAACCCUACAGUGUGUACUGUUCUUCAGUAGUAGACUCUCUUUCAAGGUUAUGCCUCCUUGAGUACAAACACACACUAGAUGUACACCUCUGCCCCGAUCUAACACUGUCCUCGGGAGCCAAAAAACCUUACCGCGUUAUAGGUGAAACCGUGUUAUAUUGAACUUGCUUUGAUCCAGCGGAGCGUGCAGCCCCGCCCCCCGGAGCGCUGCUUUACCGUGUUACAUCGGGUCGCGUUAUAUCUGGGUAGAGGUGUAUCUUAUUGGGCUUGACUUAACAUUGCUGCUGACUGUUCUAAAGAAAUGGUACUCCACCAAAAUAAGUUAUAUAAUGGCUGCCGAAUCUUGAUUUAUACAGUACAAACAUUAGUUGUAUGAUGGUACCUCAUACAAAAAUCUGUAGUGGCUUUGUAAUCAAGCUAAGGGUUGGGGGACAAGAUGGACUUGUUACAGGGAUAUGUAGAUAUUUGUCAACAUUUCUCUUCCUUUUGGCCAAAAUAAUGUAUGCCAAGAUAAAGGGACACUUUCAGGC